rnacentral:rRNA from 1 species
UACGUAGGGUGCGAGCGUUAAUCGGAAUUACUGGGCGUAAAGCGUGCGCAGGCGGUUUUGUAAGCCAGAUGUGAAAUCCCCGGGCUUAACCUGGGAAGGGCAUUUGGGACUGCAAGGCUUGAGUGCGGCAGAGGAGACUGGAAUUCCUGGUGUAGCAGUGAAAUGCGUAGAUAUCAGGAGGAAUACCGAUGGCGAAGGCAGGUCUCUGGGCUGACACUGACGCUCAUGCACGAAAGCGUGGGGAGCAAACAGG